AUAAGGGUUGGAUAGAUUUGCGCUCCACCACAGAAUCUGAUCCAGCCCGCCGUGCAAUUCUGAAAAUAAAUAAAAUCGCAGAGGAACUAUUACGAGAAAACCUCAACCAUCCAUUUUCUACAGUAGAUCGCUUGUCCUCAUUAAGAUUGUGGGUGAGGUGGGUGACACCCUGCAUUGGUUGCCCACCAGUCGCAGGACAAAUAUAAACCAAGCAACCAUUCACACCUGAGGGCAAUUUUGAGUCGACUCUAACAUGCAUGUUUGUGCAAUGCGGGAGGAAGCCACAGUACAACCACGGGCUUCAAAAAAAAAAAAGCAUUCAAGGGACAGUGCAAGACAUUUGACCAAGCUUCUUUGACCAGCAGCUGAACCUUCAACCUGCACCUUCUGCAUCUCUCUGCACUUCAGGAUGUUUUUGUUGAGCUUAGCUCCCAUUGUUGGUGUUGGCUGGCCUCCCACGGCUGCUGCUUGCCGCUGCUGGCUGCUGGUUCCUAUCGGCCCCCCCACCCCUCGUAAUGGCUUCUUCAUGUGCCUCCUGCGUGAGGCAGACAGACAACGCAAAGCAUCAUGGGAGAGAAGAACCAGCUGAAAGUAAAUAAACAGAUCGACAGGAGUGAGCUCAGCGCUGCAAAGUGCUUCAACUGUUUUUCGACUGUUACCUAAAUGGUGGUGGGCUGUGUUUUUAGUACCUAUCCCAAAAUUGAAAUUCGAUCGGAUAAAAAAAUUCCUUGCUGGUCCUAGUGUCUCGCCACGGGAGAUGGAUGCUCUUGCAGCAGCUGCAAACAAGUGUGUGAUAAUCUUCAGUGUCAUUGUUGGGCCCCCCUUCUCAUAAAAUAUUCAUAGCAGUGACCAAAGAGGCCUCACAUGAUAAGUGUAACAUGCAAAUGAACAAUCAAUUCCUCAUUUUCUAACGGCAACUGUUCAACCUCAGUGUUGGCUUUGAUUGCGUGAUCCUUCGCGCCACUUCCUCAAAGUCCCUGACGGUUAGCAAGACAGCGCAUACGUGCGGUUUGUGAACUAGGGUGAGAGUAAAGCGGGAAGCCGCAAAGAGGAACUCAAAGAAUGUCUUUCUCAUAGCUUCAGUUCCACCAGCAGGUUAUUAGCUGACGCUGCACAAUCUAAUGAGAGCUCUAUUGAUUUAAUGACAUGUAUGUAACAUAUUGUAAAGAAUUUAUUUUUAUCGAAUUUUGAAGGGAAAAAGAAAUGCAAUCCAUUUUUAGGCCAAUGGUGAGCUUGGCAUUUGUUACCAUGACAACAGGUGGCAAAGCCUGAGCAUUAGAGGGUUAAUAGUUCACAUUCAACAACAUCAAGUGAUAAAUGAUUGCGGUAAGGUUAUAUUUAGCACAGAGCUGAUGAUGCUCACUGCAUCGCUAUGAACAUGCUGAUGGUGCACAAACAAAAACAUGUCUGUGGGCCCCCCACCCAACUACCGGCACCCCGGCCAAAGUCUGCUCGGGUGUAAGACGGGGAGUAAAAGACAUAAAGAGAGAGAGACAGGUGGUCAGGACGGUCUCUCCCUCGCCCCUACGCUCCUUUUUGAACUCCUCUUUCAUUCUCGCACUUCAUUCUGCGCUCCUCUCCACGGCGCUGGUGACAAGGCGCUCCAUUCACGGCCUCAUUCUUACACCCGCCCCGUACCCCAUCUCCCCUCCCGGUGCACCACGACCCCGUCCCCCUCCCUGGUAGCUCCAUUGUCUCGCUCGUGGGGGCCUGCUUUAGCUGCUAUUCACCAGCCAGACGGACUGCCAUUGACUGGACACCCCCCACACCCAAGACCCCCUCUGCCCCCACCCUCCUCACACACAUAUGCACACAGCAACCUGGCCCGUCCCCACCCUGCAAGCUUGCAUCAGGCAGCUGCUAUGCUAAUAGGGAGGAAGGCCCCGGCUGGAGGGAGGAUGAGGAGGGGUGGGGGGAUUCAGAGUAGCCAGCCUAUAGCAAAAGGGGGAGAUGGGGGGAGGGGGGUGACCCUGCUCCCUCCAUCUCCAUAGUCAUGCCAGAGCAGCAGCAGACCUCCUGUUACACAAAGGGAGCCCCCCACAACAUCCCCCCGCACCUUCACCCUCCCCAUGGCCUCCUCUGUUCCACCUCUUUCUCAUUCAAAUCCAUUUUAUACCCCAGUGGUAAAGGCAGCUGUAAGUGCAGUAUGUGAAGUAACCCUAUUCCUACCCCGCGGGCGCAGCCAUUCAACGUGUGCGUGUGCGACUGCAUGCGUGUGUGUGUGUGUGUGUGUGCAAGCUUUGUUUUGGUCUGUGCCCCAUACCUACACACGCACACACCUGUCCUUGAGUUCAGUUGCAUAGACAAAUAGUGCAACAAUUCACUACUCAUCAUGACCACAAAACAAAGAUAUGAACCAAACUGUGGAUUCAGGCACCCAUGCAAAUUUUGCUCCUCCACUAUAUAAAAAACUAAUAUUAUUUUUAUUAUAUUAAUGCAGUGAUAAUCAUAGGCAAACUAAUAUAACAAAGUAAAAUGUGACUGUACUGUAAAAGGUUCUUAUACUCAACUUUUGAUCAUGACAUGGUGUGUGUUGGCAUGUUGCAUUGUGUCAGUCAUGUUUGUACAUCUCUUUUAGUGGGCUUUAAAGAGGGAGGGGUAGUUAGAGCUGGCGUUGUUGGCAGGAAGGCAUCCCUCGCUCACUCUCUCCUCUUCUGUUAUUUAGCCUCUGUAGUGUGACCCUGUGCCCCAUCGGGGGAGCCAUGUUCCAUUUGACAUCUGCCUGUUU